rnacentral:rRNA from 1 species
AACGAACGCUGGCGGCAGGCCUAACACAUGCAAGUCGAGCGCCCCGCAAGGGGAGCGGCGGACGGGUGAGUAACGCGUGGGAACGUGCCCUUUGCUACGGAAUAGCCCCGGGAAACUGGGAGUAAUACCGUAUAAGCCCUACGGGGGAAAGAUUUAUCGGCAAAGGAUCGGCCCGCGUUGGAUUAGGUAGUUGGUGGGGUAAUGGCCUACCAAGCCGACGAUCCAUAGCUGGUUUGAGAGGAUGAUCAGCCACACUGGGACUGAGACACGGCCCAGACUCCUACGGGAGGCAGCAGUGGGGAAUCUUAGACAAUGGGCGCAAGCCUGAUCUAGCCAUGCCGCGUGAGCGAUGAAGGCCUUAGGGUUGUAAAGCUCUUUCGUGGGGGAAGAUAAUGACUGUACCCCAAGAAGAAGCACCGGCUAACUCCGUGCCAGCCGCCGCGGUAAUAC